GAUGAACGCUGGCGGUGUGCUUAACACAUGCAAGUCGAACGGAAAGGCCCAAGCUUGCUGGGGUUCUCGAGUGGCGAACGGGUGAGUAACACGUGGGUAACCUGCCCUGCACUUUGGGAUAAGCUUGGGAAACUGGGUCUAAUACCGGAUAGGAUCACAUCUUGGAUGGUGAGGUGGGGAGUUUUUCGGCGUGGGAUGAGGUCGCGGCCUAUCAGCUUGUUGGUGGGGUGAUGGGCUAACAACGCGUCGGCGGGUAGCCGGACUGGGGAGGUGUACGGCCGCCAUGGGGCUGAGGGAAGGCCGCAGCGCGUACGGGGGGGAACGGGGGGGAAAAUUGAUCCAUGGGGGCAAGGCUGAUGCAGAAACGCCGCGUGGUGGAUGGCGGUCUUCGGGGUGUAAAAACGCUUCGCUAUGGAAGAAGCGUUGUGUGACGGUACCUGGAGAAGAAGCACCGGCUAACUACGUG
rnacentral:rRNA from 1 species